ACCUCCGCAACUUGUAAAAGCCCUAAAUUGAAAUGACACUGGAUAUUAAGAGUGUUUUUACUGUUCUGGUGACAUAUUAACAAGAUUCACACUCAAAAGGCUCUACUUGAAGUGAUAUGUGAUUAUAAGAGUGUUUUUGCGAUUCUAGUGAGAUUAAAAACAUUGGAAGAGGCGGUAUGUGAUUGGCGGCGGCGGGAAACCAGCCCAGCGUCGUAGAGCCUCUGUUUAAAGUGACUCGGGAUAUGAAGAGUGAUUCAGGAUAUGAAGAGUGUUUUUACGGUUCUAGUGACGAAUUAACAAGAAGUGAAGUGAAAAGGAUAUACAGCCUUGAAAAGCCGGCUAAUCGUGUAUGCUGCUGUCUUGGAAAACAAUCGCAGUGAGAGCUGCUGCAUCGUCUCGCUCUUCGCCCUCUCGACGACUCCUGCCAUCUCCUCGCCACAUCGCCGCCAACGCUAUGAACAAGUAAGACUGGGCCUCGUGGAGUAGUCUCGACGCUGGCCCCGAAGAAACACUAAUGUUCCAUCACUACAACCCCAGAGAGACAGAUCAUGCACGGACAAGGCGCCUCGUGGAGGAGUGGCUUCAGGUACCUAGGAGAGGAAGGUCACUUCAGGGACUCCACCCACCAGUAUCCAUUCGAGGAGGGACCGCAGUCAUUAAAAUGUACAAGCAGCGCUUCGUGGCAACCUUAGAGUUCUUCCACAGGCUGAGCGUCUA